CUCUGUUUUCCUCCAGGUCCAGGCGGCUGGGCAGGGCCAACGUAGGAAAUGAAGAACUGUGCACGGCGCACCCCAGGAAUUCAGCUUCCUCUCAAAAGCCAUGGUUGCGAGGUCGCGUGUUUAACCUCGCACUGGCUGCUGAGGGAAUUAACAGGCCUGCGCAGCAGCUUCGUUAGCUUCGAAAGAAAAUGGGCCCCGGCUCCCGCAGGAGGCCCGCCUGGCGCGCAGAUGUCGUUAUUAGAAUCCGGGACGUCGGUGGACCCUCUGGGUCUGGCUCCCUCGGGGCUUACGAUGAAAAAAACUGGGGGGCGCGUGUGUGUGUCAUGAGACUUCCAUUUCUGAAGGGGUCCUGUUCCAUAUCCUCAAGAAGGGAGUGCUGCACAGAGAGGCCAUGAGGAAUCUAAGCAGACAGGCCUUGCUGGGUUUCCCCACUCAGUCUGUUAAUAUUAGAUCAUACCUUUUUGUCCAGUCACAUUUUUACAUGGUUGUCAAUUAUGCCUGUCCAGUAAAGUCUCCAUAAAAGGCCCAAGAAGACAGAGUUGGAGUUCCUGGAUAGCUGAACAUGUGGAGGUUCC
rnacentral:lncRNA from 1 species